rnacentral:pre_miRNA from 1 species
CAGAAACAUAAAACAGGACUAUAAAACAGAAAGUCGGGUGUUCCCUCGCGCGCACAAGCUUGAUACACUGGCUCUUUGAUUAAACACCAAAUGUUCGGGUGUUUAAUCAAAGAGCCAGUGUAUCAAGCUUGUGCGCGCGAGGGAACACCCGACUUUCUGUUUUAUAGUCCUGUUUUAUGUUUCU